rnacentral:ncRNA from 1 species
ACAGAAUCAGCUCUGUACAAUCCAUCCCGAUGAAACAUUGUGCAGAGC